GAAUAUAAGUAGAGAGAGAGAGAGAGAGAGAGAGAGAGAGAGAGAGAGAAUUGGGUAUUCUAAUGAUAAAACAAAACCAAAGAGUUUCUAAGAGAACAAAUGUCUAAUGCUGCAUGUGUGAGCAAUUUUGAAAAGGUGUUUAAUACCUUUACAAUGUCUGCUAGUAGUUUUGUCAGAAGA